rnacentral:misc_RNA from 1 species
GGCGACGACGAGGUCCAAAGCCCAUUACCUCUGAAGAAGCCUCGUAUAUUAACAAUUCCCAAAAUCGAAAUUUCUCAAAAUUAAUCAACUGGGAAUCAUUCGGUUCCAGAAAUCUUAGAGAAAAGAAACACAAUUUGAUUGGAUUUGUUUGUUUAGUAGGUGAUUUGUUUGUGUGUAAAUAGAAGGAAAGUAGAAAUUAAAUUGUAACCCCG